GUCCCUGAGUUACCUAGAGUACAGCAGCAGGAAGGACGAAGGAGUAGUGUGGCAGCUCCAGACAGGACAGGAAGUGAAGGCAGCAGAAUACAGGACGCAGUCAGGGUUAGUGUAAUAACUCCAGGGAAGACACAGACAGUGAGAGCAACAGCAGCAUUGCAGGAAGAUUUUGGAGACCAUAGCAGUCCUCUCCAACACUGGAUAUUGAGUGUGCAAUAUACCAUCUAAAGGAACCGGCGAGUCAGAAUGUCUGAGAAGAUCAAGUGUGCUUCUCCACUGAUGAUGAUGAGCUGGAUACCAGCUUAUGGGCUAAUUUCUUUCAUUCAUUGCCAGAGGACGGGACCAGAUGUGUUUGGAGUUGAAGACAAUGCUGAAGACCAAAGAAGCAGCGGAAGAAGAACAUUUAAGCACUGAGGGUGUCCAGCCUGUUUGCCAUGACAGAUCCAGCGGCUAGAUGGCGGAAGAUGCUUCAAUACCCAAUUGCACUGAAUCAUUAGAUGAUCAAUUAAUUAAUAUUAAUAUAUAUUUUUAAAUUAUCUUAUUAUAUUAAAUAAUUGGUCUCAGUUUACUGUUUCAUAUAUUAGUUUGAAUAAUAAUGUUUUUAUAAUGUGUACGCCAUGCCUGAGGAGGAUGGGUUCCCCCUGAUGAGUCUGGUUCCUCUCAAGGUUUUUUAUCUCCUUAAGAGUUUUUUCCUUGCCACCGUCGCCACUGGCUUGCUCACUGGGGGUGUUGUGUCAAAUCCUGUGUCCCUCUCGCGUCCCUGCCGACCAGGGUUUCCAAAACAACAGUUUGCGACUCGAUGAAUUUUUUAUUAAUUAAAUCAUAGAAAUUUAAACGACUAAAAAUGAAAUCAUGUUAUGGCUUAGUCACUUACGGUAAAGCAGUAAGCCCUGUGAUGCUGUGAUUAACAGUGCUUUCAGAACUGCUAAGGGGUGUUGCUGUUUUCUGAAAUCACAGGGCUUAUGUAUGGCCUUAUGCCCUUUAUAAACACUUGUGCAGUAAUCGACGCAAUCAUGGACAGUAAUGUGAGUAUUUUACAAUGGCUUUAAAUGCAACAUGCACAAGGUUCACUUCAUUAAUAGAAUAAUUCAAACACUUUCACCACUAUUCUGCCAAAAUAGAAACUUGAUUUUAAAUUUUUUACUAUUGUAACAGUAAGAUAUUUCUUUUUUAUUUUCAUAAUUCGAUAAUUUUAAUAUGAAGAUAAAAUAAUAUUUAUAUGUGAGCUAGUGCAACAUUAUAGGGUGGGAUUUGGCACAACAGGUGUUUUCUAAUACUUUUAAUAAACAUUUUGGUUGAAUUGGCA